rnacentral:rRNA from 1 species
CGUGAGCGGCGGACGGGUGAGUAACGCGUGGGUAACCGUGCCUCAUACAGGGGAGUAACAGUUGGAAACGGACUGCUAAUACCGCAUAAGCGCACAGUACCGCAUGGUACGGUGUGAAAAACACCGGUGGUAUGAGAUGGACCCGCGUCUGAUUAGGUAGUUGGUGGGGUAACGGCCUACCAAGCCGACGAUCAGUAGCCGACCUGAGAGGGUGACCGGCCACAUUGGGACUGAGACACGGCCCAA